rnacentral:pre_miRNA from 1 species
CGCUGCCUGGCUCCCUGAAUGCCAUCCGAGAAGCGUGCCGCUGUGGCCGGCUGCUUCCUGGUUGGCAUUGAGGGAGUCAUGCAGGG